UACGAAGGGGGCUAGCGUUGCUCGGAAUGACUGGGCGUAAAGGGCGCGUAGGCGGAUGGCACAGUCAGAUGUGAAAUUCCCGGGCUUAACCUGGGGGCUGCAUUUGAUACGUGUUGUCUAGAGUGAGGAAGAGGGUUGUGGAAUUCCCAGUGUAGAGGUGAAAUUCGUAGAUAUUGGGAAGAACAUCGGUGGCGAAGGCGGCAACCUGGUCCUUGACUGACGCUGAGGCGCGAAAGCGUGGGGAGCAAACAGG
rnacentral:rRNA from 1 species